rnacentral:misc_RNA from 1 species
UGAAGAUCAGGUAGAGAUGGCAGACUCUGCUGUCAUUUUCGUACUUGACAAACUCACAAACUUAAUAGCUGAAGAAGCAAUAUUGCUUCAGGGAGUCAAGAAUAAUAUCCAGUAUAUCAAAGAUGAAUUGGAGAGAAUGAUAGCCUUUCUUGGUGUGGCUGAUGCUUUCGAAGAGGGAGAUGCUGAGGUCAAAGUUUGGGUUAGGCAAGUGAGAGAUGUUGCUAAUGACAUUGAGGAUGUUCUUGAUGAGUCCAUGCUCUUGUCGUAUGAUCA